rnacentral:rRNA from 1 species
UACGGGGGGGCAAGCGUUGUUCGGAAUUACUGGGCGUAAAGGGUUUGUAGGUGGCCAACUAAGUCAGACGUGAAAUCCCUCAGCUUAACUGGGGAACUGCGUCUGAGACUGGAUGGCUUGAGUGCAGGAGAGGAACGCGGAAUUCCAGGUGUAGCGGUGAAAUGCGUAGAUAUCUGGAGGAACACCGGUGGCGAAGGCGGCGUUCUGGACUGCAACUGACACUGAAAAACGAAAGCCAGGGGAGCAAACGGG